rnacentral:rRNA from 1 species
UACGUAGGGGGCAAGCGUUGUCCGGAAUCAUUGGGCGUAAAGCGCGUGUAGGCGGCUCGAUAAGUCUGCUGUGAAAGUUCAGGGCUCAGCCCUGAAAUGCCGGUGGAAACUGUCGAGCUAGAGUACGGAAGAGGUGAGUGGAAUUCCUGGUGUAGCGGUGAAAUGCGCAGAUAUCAGGAGGAACACCAAUGGCGAAGGCAGCUCACUGGGACGUUACUGACGCUGAGACGCGAAAGCGUGGGGAGCAAACAGG